CUUUUAUGGAGAGUUUGAUCCUGGCUCAGAGUGAACGCUGGCGGCGUGCCUAAUACAUGCAAGUCGAACGAUGAAGCUUCUAGCUUGCUAGAAUGCUGAUUAGUGGCGCACGGGUGAGUAACGCAUAGGUCAUGUGCCUCUUAGUUUGGGAUAGCCAUUGGAAACGAUGAUUAAUACCAGAUACUCCCUACGGGGGAAAGAUUUAUCGCUAAGAGAUCAGCCUAUGUCCUAUCAGCUUGUUGGUAAGGUAAUGGCUUACCAAGGCUAUGACGGGUAUCCGGCCUGAGAGGGUGAACGGACACACUGGAACUGAGACACGGUCCAGACUCCUACGGGAGGCAGCAGUAGGGAAUAUUGCUCAAUGGGGGAAACCCUGAAGCAGCAACGCCGCGUGGAGGAUGAAGGUUCUAGGAUUGUAAACUCCUUUUGUUAGAGAAGAUAAUGACGGUAUCUAACGAAUAAGCACCGGCUAACUCCGUGCCAGCAGCCGCGGUAAUACGGAGGGUGCAAGCGUUACUCGGAAUCACUGGGCGUAAAGAGCGCGUAGGCGGGAUAGUCAGUCAGGUGUGAAAUCCUAUGGCUUAACCAUAGAACUGCAUUUGAAACUACUAUUCUAGAGUGUGGGAGAGGUAGGUGGAAUUCUUGGUGUAGGGGUAAAAUCCGUAGAGAUCAAGAGGAAUACUCAUUGCGAAGGCGACCUGCUGGAACAUUACUGACGCUGAUUGCGCGAAAGCGUGGGGAGCAAACAGGAUUAGAUACCCUGGUAGUCCACGCCCUAAACGAUGGAUGCUAGUUGUUGGAGGGCUUAGUCUCUCCAGUAAUGCAGCUAACGCAUUAAGCAUCCCGCCUGGGGAGUACGGUCGCAAGAUUAAAACUCAAAGGAAUAGACGGGGACCCGCACAAGCGGUGGAGCAUGUGGUUUAAUUCGAAGAUACACGAAGAACCUUACCUAGGCUUGACAUUGAGAGAAUCCGCUAGAAAUAGUGGAGUGUCUGGCUUGCCAGACCUUGAAAACAGGUGCUGCACGGCUGUCGUCAGCUCGUGUCGUGAGAUGUUGGGUUAAGUCCCGCAACGAGCGCAACCCCCUUUCUUAGUUGCUAACAGGUCAUGCUGAGAACUCUAAGGAUACUGCCUCCGUAAGGAGGAGGAAGGUGGGGACGACGUCAAGUCAUCAUGGCCCUUACGCCUAGGGCUACACACGUGCUACAAUGGGGUGCACAAAGAGAAGCAAUACUGCGAAGUGGAGCCAAUCUUCAAAACACCUCUCAGUUCGGAUUGUAGGCUGCAACUCGCCUGCAUGAAGCUGGAAUCGCUAGUAAUCGCAAAUCAGCCAUGUUGCGGUGAAUACGUUCCCGGGUCUUGUACUCACCGCCCGUCACACCAUGGGAGUUGUGUUUGCCUUAAGUCAGGAUGCUAAAUUGGCUACUGCCCACGGCACACACAGCGACUGGGGUGAAGUCGUAACAAGGUAACCGUAGGUGAACCUGCGGUUGGAUCACCUCCUUUCU
rnacentral:rRNA from 1 species